GAGAGGACCCGAAGGGGUUGGGAGGAUACCUCCAUCCUCCAGCAAUGUUCUCCCUGGGGGCUGACAGGGGGACGUUACAUUAUGCCCGUCAGCCUCCGUUCUGCAGGCGGUGUAUGGCCUAUGGCCAUAUCCUGGCCUCGUGUAACAUCAGGAGAUGCAGGUUCUGUGGGUCGGAAGAGCACGAGGCCAGGGACUGUGCCGAGCCGAAGAAGUGCCACGGGUGUGGCUCGGUGGCGCACCUGUGGCGGGACUGCCCGGCUCGGCGAAGGUCAUACGCGUCUGCAGCUGGGGGGGGAGCGAGAGCGGAGGAUGGAGGAAGAAAGGAGCAUGAAGAAGCGGGCGACGAAGGUGGAAGGACGGAACAGAAGGAGACGGAGGGAGGAGAAGAAAAAGAAAGAGCUGGGACGGAAGGAGAUGUGCAAGGGAUGGAAGAAGAGGUGGCUGAGACAGAAGGAGAGGGGGUCGGGACUGAAGGAGAGGUGGUCGGGAUGGAAGGAGAGGAGGUAGAAAGGUACAAGAAGAAGAAGAAGAAGAAGAAGAAGGAGACGGUGAUGGAGGAGAGUGAGGAGACAACAGUGGAGAGGAAGGAGGCGGAGGAGGUUGUGGAGAUGGAACCAGAAGGAGAGGCGGAAAAGGGAGGGGGUGUGAAGGGUUGGGGGGACGAGGAAGUGUCGAGGGCAAGGGUGGAGGAGUUGAGAGGGAUGGUGAGGGCACUGGUAGAGAAGGAAUGGGACAAGGGAAAGGAGAGGGCAAGCGCUAUGGGUGUCGUUGCCCAUAGGGUACCUGAGCCAAAUACGCCUCCGAGCAAGAGGGCAAAGAAGGGUGGAGGAGUUGAGAGGGAUGGUGAGGGAGUUGGUAGAGAGGGAAAUGGGAAAGGGAAAGGAGAAGGGAAGCACUGGAAGUGAUUCGGACUAUGAUAAACCGGAGCUGAAUAUACCUCCAGGUAAGAGGGCAAAGAAGGUGGUGAGGAGGAGGUGUGGGAAGAAGGGGGGGGGGGGCAGAACGGGGGGGUGGGGAGGUAGCGGGGCCCUCGUGGGCUCCGUCUCCAUCCUCCUUUAAACCCCUCGCCGAGCUUGACCUCCCAGGCAUGGCGAGAAACUGGAUGAUGGAGGGGGAGCCGGACUUUUUAUUUGGGGAUGUAACGUCCCCGGUUCGGAGUCCGGAGGAGGGGGGGGCAAUGGACUUGAGUGUGGGACUUGUGCCGGGGACUGUUGCUGUGUUCAGGGGAGGAGGGAUGGUGGGAGAUGGGGGGGAUGUAGGGGAUUCACGAGUGGAGGUGGGGUCAAAGUUAGCCGGGAUAGAGAAGGGGAGCACUGGGUGAUUUCUCGUUGUAAUAUAGGUGGUGGAUAUUGGUAGUUUGUAGGUUAUUGGUUUGUCGGUUUUGGUUAUAGUUUAUUAGUUGUGGAAUGAUUAUUUGUAUUUUGUUGGAAUUGUAUAUUUAAGUUGAUGGAAGUAUGGAAGAAUAUUGUUUGGUUUUGGAACGUAAUAAAUAUAUUUUGUAAAAAAAAAAAAUCUGUUCUUAUCAGUUUAAUAUCUGAUACGUCCCCCAUAGGGGGACUACAUAUUAAAUGGAUUUUUCGAACAGGGAGUCGGAAAUGGGGCUUGCUCCGUCCGCUCCACGCAUCGACCCGGUAUUGCAGUACCUCCGGGAACGGUGCAACACUUUUCUCCCGUUGUCAAGGAAAAAUACUCAUUCACAAAGCUAUGUAAACAGCUAGCUUAGCUUAGCUUAGCUUAGCUUAGCUUAGCUAGCUAGCAGAAGAAGAGAAGGAAAGAAACAUUCAAACUGAAAAAAGGGCGAAGCGCCUUUCAAUGGGGUCCCCC
rnacentral:lncRNA from 1 species